rnacentral:tRNA from 1 species
AGCCCCUUGGUGUAAUUGGUAACACAGCUGAUUUUGGUUCAGUAUUUCUAGGUUCGAGUCCUGGGGGGGCUGCCA